rnacentral:rRNA from 1 species
CCUACGGGUGGCAGCAGUGGGGAAUAUUGGGCAAUGGGCGCAAGCCUGACCCAGCAAUGCCGCGUGAAGGAAGAAGGCUUUCGGGUUGUAAACUUCUUUUAAGGGGGAAGAGCAGAAGAAGGUACCCCUUGAAUAAGCAACGCCUAACUACGUGCCAGCGGCCGCGGUAAUACGGAGGUGGCAAGCGUUGUCCGGAUUUACUGGGUGUAAAGGGCGUGCAGCCGGAGAGAAAAGUCAGAUGUGAAAUCAACGGGCUCAACCCGUGAACUGCAUUUGACACUGUUUCCCUUGAGUGUCGGAGAGGUAAUCGGAAUGCCUUGUGUAGCGGUGAAAUGCGUAGAUAUAAGGAAGAACACCAGUGGCGAAGGCGGAUUACUGGACGAUAACUGACGUUGAGGCGCGAAAGCGUGGGGAGCAAACAGGAUUAGAUACCCCAGUAGUC